rnacentral:rRNA from 1 species
ACGAACGCUGGCGGCGUGCCUAAUACAUGCAAGUAGCACGCUGAAGGAGGAGCUUGCUUCUCUGGAUGAGUUGCGAACGGGUGAGUAACGCGUAGGUAACCUGCCUGGUAGCGGGGGAUAACUAUUGGAAACGAUAGCUAAUACCGCAUAAGAGUAGAUGUUGCAUGACAUUUGCUUAAAAGGUGCAAUUGCAUCACUACCAGAUGGACCUGCGUUGUAUUAGCUAGUUGGUGGGGUAACGGCUCACCAAGGCGACGAUACAUAGCCGACCUGAGAGGGUGAACGGCCACACUGGGACUGAGACACGGCCCAGACUCCUACGGGAGGCAGCAGUAGGGAAUCUUCGGCAAUGGACGGAAGUCUGACCGAGCAACGCCGCGUGAGUGAAGAAGGUUUUCGGAUCGUAAAGCUCUGUUGUAAGAGAAGAACGAGUGUGAGAGUGGAAAGUUCACACUGUGACGGUAUCUUACCAGAAAGGGACGGCUAACUACGUG